CCCAUCCCCUAGACCCCCUGUUAACAUGGAUGAAAGCCACUUUGACACCCAUGGGUGGCACCCUGUCACAGUUGGUGGGACUCAGCAAUACAGGGACAGAGGAAAGAAAGAGGAACAACUCACUUUCUCUCCCUCACACACCCUGAGUAUUUGCUAGAAAAAGAAAGGAACCAGGCACACAUGCUCCCCUAUUUCUAGAUGAGUAGCCAUUCAUCUUUAGUCUGCACCCUUUUAGAACAUGUCCUGAACCCCUGGGACUCUUCUGAAAAAAAUGCCUUCUUUUUUCCUUUUUCUUCCUCUGUCCUCUAUUCACUGGUAGGUAGGUAAUGGUGUCCCAUACCACAGAACACUUCCCUCAGAUGCAUCCUUCUAACUGGGAGGAGUUAAUUUCUCAAACCGUAGACUAAUUGGCUUAGGAUUAGGUUCAGGGGAAGGGAACACAGAAACAUGACAUGCCAGCAAAAGGGUAAAAGGUUUUUUUUCCCCGUUGGGCUUUUGGCCUCUCUCUCCCUGUGCAAACUGGUAAAAGGCGUCUGGAUUUUCUAGUUGUCCUUACCCACUGCUUGUUUCGUUUUGAUACAUAUUUUCUAAUAACCUGUUUGUCUCUUCUCACUUUUAGGCCAUCAAACUCCAGUCUGCACCUGGAGCCUUGGAUGAUGGCCUUUUUUACUGGGAACCCUGAAAUAGGCCUCUGAGGGAAAUCUGAUUGCCAUUUUCCCAAAACAGCUUCCCUGACAAUAGGAAGCAAUUAAGAUUGGUCUUCAUCCUUAUCUUUAUCCUUAUUCUAAUGGCAGUUAGAGGUACUUCUUUAGAGGGGGGAAUGAGACAGCCAAAUGCCUAGGCAGAUAAAAAGGUGUACCUGGAAAAUUUCCAACCCGUCACACAAGUGUUUACAUCAGAUGCUUUUGUGUAGAUGAGGGAAACUUCCCAGGGCUUGUCUGGGUAUGCCCACAGUGGACUGGAGCCCAAAAUGCACACUGGAGGAAGUGGAUGGAGCCACGUGGAUGUCAUGCCUUAUGCAGGGGAGGAGCCUGCUCUCUUCAGCUCCUGUGGUAAUGUGGGAAUCGAUCUGUGAGGAAACACUUUCUGAAAAUGUCAGAACUCUUGAAAACAUGGAUGAGGAAAAGCAUAAGUACUGCUUUAUGCUUUUCUUAUGAAUUUUAAAAGAUGUAAUUUAAAGGUACUUUAAAGUGAUAUUUGUGCCCUUGUAACUGAUUCAAAGUAGACUGCUAAGGACAAUAAGUAAUAAGAGUCUACAAAUAUCAGUAAAUUAUGAGAAAAAACGGUCUAAUGGUACUUAAAAUUGCAUUGUGAUUUAUUAAAUAACAUUGAACAGCUCCACCUGUAACAUUAAGAUUCCAUUUGAGCAUAUAGAAAAUAUAUUUAUCGCAACCUGAAGUGAUUUGGAAAGUAUGCUGGGAAGAAAAUAUAUUUACAAAUUAGUCUCAGAGGGUAGGUAUCCUGUAGCCAGAUGGAAUAAGAAGAGAGGGAAGGGAGAUUUUGUUCAAAGGGGGAGCAUAAGCUAAGGAAUAAAGCCACAAACAAUGAUUAAAUUAGGUAAAGUGCAAUUAGCUGAAUAUUGCAUAAGCAUACAUAUGGGAAGAAGUGGAAAAAGGAGUGACAAUAUGAAGCUAAAGGGUUUGAAGUGUUCAAGAUAAUACUAGGCUUCCUAGCCUAUUCCGAGACAUCUUGUUUUAGAGUGCAAUAGAUAAGAACUCUAAGGAUGAAAGUAGGAGACAUGCAUUCUAGUCUACGUUUUGGUUAAUGGACUGAAAGUGAAAGAUGGACUGAAAUUGGGGGAUGGAAUAAAAAUGUGAUAGAAUAGAAAAUAGAAAAAGCAAUUAGCCUAAUGUCAUUGAUACUUAGAGAAAAUAUGGAAAAUAGUAAAUUAGUGAUAUAUAUCUUUUCUAAUUCACCAGGGUGAGUGAACAAAGGAAAUCGGAUUUAAAAGUAUUCAUGACAUAGAUGCAAUAAGGUUUCUCAGUCAGACAUAGCAAAUUGAGGGAAGGGAAGAUUUAGAGGAUUGGAAAAUGUCUUGCUUGUAGACUAAUAGGAUAUCAAUAAGCCAUAUGAGCAAUAAUUUGAAAUAGUUUUUGUAAAGUAUCAUGAAGGUAAACCCUGUUUAGAACAAAUUAGAUUUGAAGUACUUGUGACAAAUGCAAUUGACAAUGCCUUUAUGCAGCUGGAAAAUUGUUGCUUAGCAGAAAAGCUUGUGCUGGACAAAUAGAUGUCCAAAUUGAAUAGAUGUUUUCUUAAGCUGAACUAAUUGAGACAAAUAUCCUUAUUAAAUCAAAAAAUUAAAAAUUGAAAUAACUUACCUAUGAUAGGGUAAAUAAUGUUAUUAAUAUACACAAGAAAUAUGUGAUGUAUAUGUGUAUGUACAUAUGUAUACAUAGUAAUAAUACAUAGUGCUAUUUUUAAAUGAUAUUUUACAUAGUGCUUUUUUAAAUGAUUUUUCAAUCAUCGUUGUUGGUCUGUGUUAUUUUAAUCAUCAAAGCUGAUUGAUUUCUGUUUUUGUGUUUUUUUUUGUUUUUUUUGAGGUGGAGUCUCACUCUGUCACCCAUGGUGGAGUACAGUAGUGCGGUCUUAGCUCACUACAAACUCCACUUCCCUGAUUCAAGUAAUUCUUGUGCCUCAGCCUCUCGAGUAGCUUGGAUUGCAGGCAUGCACCACCACGAGCUGCUAAAUUUUUUGUAUUUUUUGUAGAGGGGUUUUGCCAUGUUGGCCAAGCUGGUCUCAAACUCCUGACCUCAAGUGAUCCGCCCUGGCUUCCCAAGCCCAGCUGAUUCCUGUUUAAAUAAAAACUUACAAAGAUCUUCCCACAAGUACUUUAUCUUACAAUUUACUGAACAAUAGAGGCAGUGAAGAUGUUUUUCAGAAAGCAAUUGUGAUCCUGACAUUUUCUUCUUAUAAUCCUGUGCUUUCCUCAUUUUUUUAUAUUAAAAGUAAUAGUUCUUGUGAUGGCAACUAGGAUUUGUAACAACAUGUACCCUCAUUUCCUGCAUGACCUUUUUUAUGUCACUUCUUCACAUGCAAAGUAUACUCCCUCAGUGUCAUUACAUUAUUUGAUUUUUGCCCUUUCCCUCACCUUUCCAUGUGUUUAUUUGCCUAUGCCCAUCUCCUAGUCACAUUUUAUCUAGUUAACGCCAACUUGACUUUCAAUGCUGUUCAAGAUUUACCUCAAUCUCAAGUGUUUUCUCUUUAUAUUCCAUACACGCUUAGCUUGGCUGCCAAUCCUCUUGGCUGCCAAAGAAUCCCAAAUUAUCUCUUUCAAAAAUACAAGAAAUAAAGGAUGGAGGAUAGGAAGGAGGGUGGUCAGGAAAGAACAAAGAAAGGAGGGGAGAGGAAAAAAAGAGAGAAAGAAAGAGAAUUAAAGUUAAGGAGGAAGAAUUUCACACUGAAUUAAAAUUGAUAAUAUUCAGGAAUGAUUUUAUAGUAGGCAUACAUUGAUAAAUAUUAGUUAAAUUAAUGAAUUAUUCCAAAAGAUCAUGAUUUGUAAAAAUUACCCUGAAGCACUUUAGGAAUAUUACAUUGAAAUAGGUAUGCAAUUUCUAAAGAAACUGGACUGCAAAAAUAGCCAUUGUGUGUACCUGUGGACCAGAAUAUUAUAUUUUGCUUAAGUUUGAAGUGUUAAAGUGCCCAACGUGCUCUUAUUUUAACCUAGCAAAUUUUCAGCAGAACUUAAGCUCAUAUAGUAUUUGAUUUUUUCAUUUCUCACAACUGUUGGAAUUCUGUUUUAUUGAAAAUUAUACAAUAAAAUGUUAAAAAAUCUUUGUUCCUGCAGUUAUGCAAUCUUAUGCCAAAGUCAAUAAAUUAUUAAAUUAAAAUCAAACCCACUAAGCCUAACAAUUUGAGAAAAUGAUUAUUAAAACAUAUACCAUUUAGAAGGGCAAUGCCUUUUUAAUAUUAUAGUGAAGACAACCCUAUCAAUUAUUUAAUACACCAAGAAUACAAGGAUAUAAAAUCUUUUUCUCUCAUAUAUCACAUUAUCUGAUGUAUUUAGCUGUGAUGACAUUCCAGAAAACAUCACUUUUUAAAAUUUC
rnacentral:lncRNA from 1 species